rnacentral:lncRNA from 1 species
CCUGGAUGCCAAUGGCCUCUCCCCUUCCUCCCGCAGGACACAGACAACUCCGGUGCCACUAUCCUACAUCUCGCAGCCCGAUUCGGUCACCACGAGGUGAUCGAGUGGCUCCUCCGCUUCGGAGGCAGCGAUCCCACGGCAGCCACAGACACGGGAGCGCUGCCGGUCCACUAUGCUGCGGCCAAAGGGGAUUUCCCUUCCCUGCGACUUCUCUUAGGACACUGCCCAAGCACGCUCAGUGCCCAGACCAAGACCGGUGCCACCCCUCUGUACCUCGCCUGCCAGGAGGGUCACCUCGAGAUCAUCCAAUACUUGGUGAAGGACUGCGGGGCCGACCCCCACGUACGCGCCAACGACGGCAUGACCCCACUGCAUGCUGCAGCCCAGAUGGGCCACAACACCGUCAUCGUCUGGCUGAUGAGCUUCACGACAGUGAGCCUGUCAGAGCGGGAUGACGACGGAGCCACGGCCAUGCACUUUGCCGCCAGCCGCGGCCACGCCAAGG